rnacentral:rRNA from 1 species
GAUGAACGCUGGCGGCGGGCCUAAUACAUGCAAGUCGAGCGCACGGACGGGAAUCUUUCUUCUCUGAUUUUGUCGCCGGACGGGUGAUUAACACGUGGAUAACCUACCUAUAGGACUGGGAUAACUUCGGGAAACCGUAGCUAAUACCGGAUAAUAUUUUGAACCGCAUGGUUCAAGAGUGAAAGACGGUCUUUCUGUCACUAAUAGAUGGAUCCGCGUUGGAUUAGCUAGUUGGUAAGGUAACUGCUUACCAAGGCAACGAUGGAUAGACGCCCUGAGAGGGUGAAUCGCCACACGGGAAAUGAGAAAGGGCAGAGACUCCUACGGGGGGAAGCAGUCGGGACUCUUACGCGAUGCGCGAAUGGCUGACGGAGCACAGCGGCGUGAGUGAUGAAGCUGUUAGGCCGGGAAAAUUCUGUUAUUAGGAAAGAAGAUAUGUGUAAGUAACUGUGCACAUCUUGACGGUACCUACACAGAAAGCCACGGCUAACUACGUG